AAUCUAGGAGCUGGAGUCCAUGACUCACAGGAGGAAUCCAGAGAGAGAAAGGGCCAAGCAGAAGCCAUAUUGUCUUCGAUGACCUGGCCUCAAAAAUCAUGCAAUACCUUUCAUUCAUUGAGGCCGUCACAAAGCUCCACCCAUUCUCAAUGGGAGAGAAAUAAAUACUGACUCUCAAUGGGGAGUGGGAAGGUUCUGGGAGGGCAUAUGGCACCCAGAAUAUGGCUGUAGGCAUUUGUAAAUGGGGUUGUUGACAUUGAGCUUUCAGGUACAAAGGAAACUGGAGCUGUCCUGUCCUGAGAAUUCCAGAGAUUUUGAAGAAUCUGUGGGGAAGAGAAGAUUAAGACACAGAGAUACCAGAGAGGUCGUUCACAGAGGAAAGACCAUGUGAAGACGCAGUGAGAAGGUGGCCAUAUUCAAGCUGAGGAGAGAGACCUCAGAAGAAACCAAUACUGCCAACGCCUUGGUCUUGGACUUCCAGCCUCCAGAACUGAUGAUGCCUUUUGAAAGCAUUCUUAAUGGGGACUCUACCUUCCUUCCCCUGAUUCUCAUGAGAAUCUGAUCUUCGCUAAAGUGGGCAAGGUCCUGGAUCAGAAGAUGCCUGACAAGAGGCCACUAUCAGCAGCAACAGCACAGUGGGGACAAACCUGAGACCUUGAUGGACCGUGGACACCAGCAGGAGAGACAGAGGAACUCAAUUGGACAUAAUUAGAGACAUCAUCAUAAAUAACGUGGAGCAGAUGGAAGAUGCCGGGCUUUUCAUUUCGAGGACUGAGUAGGAAGGUUAAUGAUGGAAGAAUGGGCAUAAAGAAUGGGGCGUUUAUAUCACAACUUGAAGUCUAAAUGGGCAGACAAGACCAACAUACACAAAGCAGAGAGUGGCACAAGAGCCAUGUCUGAUGCAACAGUGACUCAGGAGGAUCACUCUGACUCAGAAUGGCCAAGCAAAGGUAUUGGGAGGAAGUGGGAUAGAACUGAGCUUUGAAGACCGUGCUAAAAUAUUUACAGACUCCCCAGGUUAUCUCAAGUUCUCUCCAGGAAUUAGCUUCACCUCUUUGUGCUUUGGCUCCACAUCAGUUAAAUAGUGGUAACGUUUGAUCGUUAAGAACCAUGUAGAGAUGAAACAAUUUUCAAAGUUUUUUAAUUAAGUGUACUCAUUGCCACUCAAAGACAAAUACCAUAUAAAUAUAAUAAUAAUCAUAUUGAGAAACAAAAUAGCAAUGAUGCAGAUACUCAUGUACUGUUUCAUGUUUGUGGUCUUUGAGGGGAGUUUUUACUCAAAUAUCCCUAGAUGAAUAAAUACAUAUGGUCUAUUGAAAUUGAGUAACGUUUAACAGAAGGUGUCUGAUUACAACUUAGCGUGUUAAGUCUCUGAAGCUGAUUAACGGCUUAACUCAAGUUUUCGCACCUGCAGACCAGUGACCCCCCACCGCCGCCCCCCCGCAAGGCAUCUGUUUGACGUCUCUUUAAUUUUAUUAGUGGCUUAUGGACAAAAUCACUUGACUUAACCUUUUUCAAGUGUAAGUUAUUUGGAUUCACAAGAGCAUUUU
rnacentral:lncRNA from 10 species